rnacentral:lncRNA from 1 species
CUCAGAUCUUGGCAGGGCCUCAGGGGAGGAAGAGUGUGUCCUUAACUCACAAGCUCAGGUAGUUUUUUUACAUGGGGUGGGAAGAGCCUGAACAACUGCUUCAGCGUUUCCUCAGAUGAUAUUCUGCAGGGCCUGCCCACCUCUCUUGUCUGUGUGUGUCCGCGUGUGCACACACGCCCUUGUGUGUUUGUGUAUGGGUGGUGCUGGGGGUAAGGAUGUUGUGAUUUCGAGGUGUCUGGGAUAGCAAAGAAAGGCAGCCUGACAGCCUUUAAAAACAUUUCCCGCCUCUUUUUAUUUGCAGAGAUCACAGUGCAGGAAUGGCAAAAGCCAGCUGUUGCUGGGGUGGGGUGGGGACACCUCACCUAAGUCUUUUUUUUAAAAAAAAAACAUAUAUUUUCCAAAGCCACCCUGCCCAUGUCUUGCGCUUUGCAAAGACACUUCGUUUUCCCAAAGGUUUGGGGAGUUCAAACUGUCCAGCUUCCAUUCUGGCCUUAAAACAAACAAACAAGCAAAAAAAUCAAGAGAAGAGUCCUGGCCGGAUCCUAUAGUGCUGCAUCUCUAGCUCCCGUUAGAAUCAGACUCCCGUCAAAAAGGCAGUGUCUGUCUCGACCCCUGGAGGCAGCCGGGCUAACAUGAAAAAAUCCCACCUGGUGCGUCUUGCCUCUGAGGUACCUGCAUGACAUUGACUGCAGAGAAACCACAACCGCUCCUAGGAAAAGCAAACGGUAGAAAUACCAUCACCAAACGACAUCUCUCUUUUCUCCAGUGAUCAGCCAAAUAUUCUGCUCCCCCCCCAGUUCCCUCCCUGCUCUCCUGGAAAGGCGCCGUAUAUAUAUUGUUUUUAAAUGAGUGUAAAAAUCUGGCCCAAGACUUCAGCACCACAAACAAAAUUGAUAAAAAGAAAUUCGGUGCUGUUUCUUUUUUUUCUUGGUGCCGCCCGCCUCCUGCAUCCUUUGUUUGAAGUAUCUGGGUGUGUCGAAUGUCGGUGAAGGAGUGUCAACAUCUGCAGAGGGGCAAGGGCACCUUGACUAUACAACGGAUGGGGGGGAAAACUCUGUCCUUUCCUGGGGGUUCAGCCCGUUGUGCUGGGAGAGGGGGCGAGGCUCGUUCGCUCACGCGCUCCUUUUACAGAUUUACCUUUCCGUGGCAGGGUGUGUGAGAACAGCUCCUCUAAUCUGCCACUGAAGUGAUUCAGAGACUCCAGUGUGGGCUGUGGACACCCAUUUCCCAUUAGAAAACUUCGCCUCCCCCAUCUUCCUCUCGCCCUGUCCAGCCAGUUAUGGCAGCAUCUGCUUUGCCUUCGCCGCCGCUGGGAUGAUGCUUGGGUGGGGCCCAGGCUGGAGCCCUGGGGGGGGGAU